rnacentral:miRNA from 10 species
CGCUAUCAGAUGUGCUCUUACAC